UACGUAGGGAGCAAGCGUUGUCCGGAAUCAUUGGGCGUAAAGCGCGCGUAGGCGGCCCGAUAAAGUCCGUUGUGAAAGUCAAAGGCUCAACCUUUGAAUGCCGAUGGAUACUGUCGGGCUAGAGUCCGGAAGAGGCGAGUGGAAUUCCUGGUGUAGCGGUGGAAUGCGCAGAUAUCAGGAGGAACACCAAUAGCGAAGGCAGCUCGCUGGGACGGUACUGAGCUAAGGCGCGAAAGCUAGGGGAGCAAACGGG
rnacentral:rRNA from 1 species